AGUUACUGGGAUAGCCCGAGGAAACUCGGAUUAAUACCGGAUAUUCUUAUUUAAUCACAUGAUUUUUUAAGGAAAGGUCAGCCGAACUAAGAUGGGCUCGCGUUCUAUCAGCUAGUUGGUAGGGUAAUGGCCCACCAAGGCUACGACGGAUAGCUGGUCUGAGAGGACGAUCAGCCACACUGGGACUGAGACACGGCCCAGACUCCUACGGGAGGCUGCAGCAGGGAAUAUUGCGCAAUGAGCGAAAGCUUGACGCAGCGACACCGCGUGUGGGAUGACGGAUCUAGGUUUGUAAACCACUUUCAGGAGGGAAGAAAAUGACGGUACCUCCACAAGAAGCCCCGGCCAACUACGUGCCAGCAGCCGCGGUAAUACGUAGGGGGCGAGCGUUGUCCGGAUUUAUUGGGCGUAAAGAGCUCGUAGGCGGUUCAACAAGUCGGUCGUGAAAGUUCAGGGCUCAACCCUGAAAUGUCGAUCGAUACUGUUGUGACUAGGAUACGGUAGAGGUGAGUGGAAUUCCGAGUGUAGCGGUGAAAUGCGUAGAUAUUCGGAGGAACACCAAUUGCGAAGGCAGCUCACUGGGCCGCUAUCGACGCUGAGGAGCGAAAGCUAGGGGAGCAAACAGGAUUAGAUACCCUGGUAGUCCUAGCUGUAAACGAUGGAUACUAGACGUAGGAACUGGAUUGACGGUUUCUGUGUCGCAGCUAACGCGUUAAGUAUCCCGCCUGGGGAGUACGGUCGCAAGACUAAAACUCAAAGGAAUUGACGGGACCCCGCACAAGCGGCGGAGCAUGCGGCUUAAUUCGAUGAUACCCGUAGAACCUUACCUGGACUUGACAUAUAGGGUCUAGCUAUAGAGAUAUAGUGUGCAUUAGCGCCCUAUACAGGUGGUGCAUGGCUGUCGUCAGCUCGUGUCGUGA
rnacentral:rRNA from 1 species